GGGAAAGUACUUUAAAUAAAAGUUUUAAUUUGCAAUUAAAAAAUAGGAAAAUUAUUUAUUCCUCUUUCCCA
rnacentral:tRNA from 1 species